GGAAGGAGGGGAUGGCGUAUCUCCCAGCAGCCCCUGGGGCACUCACAGUUGACGUGGAUGGUCACCUCCUUCUCCAGCUGCACCUCAGGGGGGCUGUCGAAGUCCAGCACCUGGCACCGAUUUGUAAUCAGAACAUCCUGUGGUAUCAAGCCAAAAUCCUUACAGAAGUCUAAGUCCAUCACGUCAACACUGUUAUCUUGAGCAAUCGAACUUGUCAUCUCAUCAAAAACAGCUAAGAACCGGAGACGGACCUCCUUCAAAGUCAGCCUGAUUACCUUUUGUUCUGCAAGGAAAUCCCAACUUGUCAAAGAGGACAUGAAAUUGUAUAAAAGAUACCUGGGUCCUGAUUCUGCUUAAGCUUCAUCGGGGAAGUUUGAGUGACAAGGCUGAGGUCCCAGUUAUGCUGGUAUGCCUUGAAUAUGAUAUGUAGACAUUGGACUAUGACCUAUUAACUGAAUUCUAAAGGAACUCUGCAACUACAAAGCUCACCAUCUCUGCCAUGAGUCUGAACCUCGGUGAAUUGAACUCGCAUCUGUAUGUAUAUUGAUCUUUUAGCCAUACU